AUGAAAGAUCAAUUCGCCGGCCUUCCUAGUGAAGAUGCCGCUACUCAUCUAAACAAUUUUGUUGAUUUGUGUGAUAUGCAAAAGAAGAAAGAUACAGAUAACAAUAUUGUCAAAUUGAAGUUAUUUCCGUUUUCACUUAGAGAUCGUGCUAAAGUUUGGUUUUCGUCUUUGCCUAAAAAUAGUAUUGAUUCUUGGAACAAGUGCAAAGAUGCUUUUAUCUCUAAGUAUUUUCCUCCCGCUAGGAUCAUCACUCUUAGGAACGAUAUUAUGAAUUUUAAACAACUUGAUCAUGAGCAUGUUGCCCAAUCUUGGGAAAGAAUGAAAUUGAUGCUUCGCAAUUGCCCUACUCAUGGUUUGAAUUUAUGGAUGAUCAUACAAAAAUUUUAUGCCGGUUUGAACUUUGCUUCUAGAAAUCUCUUAGAUUCGGCCGCGGGAGGCACGUUUAUGGAAAUUACGUUAGGAGAUGCUACAAAAUUGCUUGAUAAUAUUAUGGCUAAUUAUUCUUAA
rnacentral:rRNA from 1 species